rnacentral:lncRNA from 1 species
GUGACCCACUAGCCACAGCCGGCCGACCCUGCUCCAGUACAAUCCCUUCUUUUUAUAGCUUCAGAAGUUGAGACCAAGGAGAGGAAAAGGCAGUCAAGCCCCCCAAGUACUCACUGCUGGGCACGAGUUUCUGUUACACGGAGCCUCAGAAAAUGAACAAUAAAAACGACUUCAGCCGUGAUUGUACUCAAGUAUGGAGCAGUAAAGAAAAGCAAGGUCAAGUAUGGAAAGCCAAGCAUAUAUUCUAACCAGACCCUCUCAGCCAAAGAAGAUUCCAUUCCCAGCUGGAAAUGCUGUCUCGGAGCAGGAAUGAAGAGCCUCUCUCAUUGGAAUUGCCCAUGAGGACAAAUGCACCCCCCAC